UGUCAUGUGCCGCCCACUUGAGUUUCUGUACGUACAGGCUAAUACUUGCACUCAUAGUCUCACAGUCAGCCCCGUAGCAACCACCACUUGUGCAAGCGCAACGUCUGCAUUUCGCAGUCUGCGCUCUGCAGUUGCACCGUUAUAAACUUUGGAAUUUAAAAUUUGGCACAAAAAAGGUUUCCUUUUCUGUAACUGUCUGCUUACGUGGUACCGUCUCGUGAUGUUAUAAAAUAUGGAUUUGCUGAUAAUUCCGGAAUUCCUGUUGGCUGUCAUCAUCAGUUUGGCUUCGAAAUAUGGAGUUCUAUUCGGCAGGAAUCAUCAGCAAUACGGAAUCGUCCUCAUAUGUUCGGGUUUUCAACUACUGUUGAGUUGCAACGUUCAACGGUAAUAUUUGGGCAAUUCCACGACGGAGAGAACAUCACUCGAAGUUUAGCGUCAACACGUUUAUCGGAAUUCCAUCAACACAUUUGGCUCUUGACAGAUCGGACUUCGGAGAUGGCAGCUUCUGAUGAGACAUAAAUUACGUGUUUACAAAUCCACAGUACACUUCGUGUGCCCUGGUUGUUGACUGCAACGCCAGAUCGGGAAUUCCUGUUCCAAACUAUUUUGGAUUUUUAUCGAAGCGUCAUGGAUUAUUCUAAGCUCGCCUUUUUGAUUGUGAUUUUGAUUUCUGCGAAGUGUGAACAGAUUCAUUUUGGCUAGUAACAUUGUUUGUUGCGUUUGUUACCCUGUCAUUGCAUGCAAUGCAAAAUUUGUUUGACUUUAUCGCGCUUGUUCUGGAAUUCUUUUUUUUAAUACGACGACCGUAAUGCUGUAGAAGUGAUCUUGAAAUAAAAAA